ensembl:snoRNA SNORD63 Small nucleolar RNA SNORD63
GUCAAUGGAAAUGAUUAAGUCAACACAUCAUUCAGAAAUAUAAGCUGCAGAUUUGACC